rnacentral:rRNA from 1 species
CCCAGACUCCUACGGGAGGCAGCAGUGAGGAAUAUUGGUCAAUGGGCGGGAGCCUGAACCAGCCAAGCCGCGUGAAGGAAGAAGGCGCCAAGCGUCGUAAACUUCUUUUGUCGGGGAACAAAGGGCGCCACGUGUGGCGUUGUGAGUGUACCCGAAGAAAAAGCAUCGGCUAACUCCGUGCCAGCAGCCGCGGUAAUACGGAGGAUGCGAGCGUUAUCCGGAUUUAUUGGGUUUAAAGGGUGCGCAGGCGGAAGAUAAGGUCAGGGGUAAAAUUGAGAGGCACAACCUCUUCGAGCCGUUGAAACUGGUUUUCUUGAGUGAGCGAGAAGUAUGCGGAAUGCGUGGUGUAGCGGUGAAAUGCAUAGAUAUCACGCAGAACUCCGAUUGCGAAGGCAGCAUACCGGCGCUCAACUGACGCUCAUGCACGAAAGUGUGGGUAUCGAACAGGAUUAGAUACCCCAGUA